AGAAGAAGAAGAUCAGGUUCACGAAGUCCAACAACUGUUUGCCCAAGAAACUUGCAAAGUGUUGCCCAGUGGUGUUAUGUGGUGUCCGCAGGGACAUGAAGUCUGAGAUACUGGACAAGCUUGCACAGACCAUUUUUUAAAUCAAAGCUUAUCCUGAUGCAUGUGAGAUUGAGUCAGUUGCAUCUGCUCUUAUAUAGAAACAUCCAUGCCUUAAAGAACCUGGCACAGGUUCAGGUUGGGAUGGUUGGGUGAUGAGCAUUAAAUUUAAACUUGGCAACUACCGUGCAAAAUUGCGGGAUGCUCAGAAGUGAAUAUCAACCGGAAAAGAGAAAGAGGUGAGGGUGAAAGGCUGAAGGCACACAUGAAGAAGUCUAAAAGAGCAGAGGUCAACUUUUUACCUGAUCACCCAGAAGGCCAGACAGAUGAAUCUCUUGAAAAUGAAAGAGUUGCCAUUGUUGAAGAAACUCAGAAAAAGAGGAUAGAUGCAAAACUUGAAGAUGUCAGAAGAUGGAAGCAACAUUCUCUCUUUGGCACAAAGAGGUUGUAGAGGUUGAAGCACUUGUUGAAGAGAUCAGGGAGGGGUGGCCUGCGCUUUUUUAUGAGGAGGAGAUCUGCAGGGAGUUCUUUCGAAUCACAAACAUUAAUCUGCUGAGAACAUUUAAAGGAUCUCUAGACAAAUAUACAGAUCUCUUCCACCCUACCCUAAGCUCUAUAGAAGGCACAGGGAGGCAUUUGGGCAGGAAAUGAAGAUACUUUUGGAGAACCUGGAUGAACAGGUGACUGAUAUUGUUGCCAGUCGGGAAAGAACAGUACUUGAGGGGUUGCCCCUUUUUCUGCAGGAAAAUCCAUCCAGCUUACUGAAGAAACGUCUGGAAACAGAUGCUGAGGACCACUACACCAACGAUUACAGAUUGGAAACAAUACAGAUUGGAAUUCUUUCUGUAAUGAAAGAUAACGUGGCUGCUGCGACAUCUCUGCCAGAAGU